GACGAACGCUGGCGGCGUGCUUAACACAUGCAAGUCGAACGGAAAGGCCCUGCUUUUGUGGGGUGCUCGAGUGGCGAACGGGUGAGUAACACGUGAGUAACCUGCCCUUGACUUUGGGAUAACUUCAGGAAACUGGGGCUAAUACCGGAUAGGAGCUCCUGCUGCAUGGUGGGGGUUGGAAAGUUUCGGCGGUUGGGGAUGGACUCGCGGCUUAUCAGCUUGUUGGUGGGGUAGUGGCUUACCAAGGCUUUGACGGGUAGCCGGCCUGAGAGGGUGACCGGCCACAUUGGGACUGAGGUACGGCCCAGACUCCUACGGGAGGCAGCAGUGGAGAAUAGUGCAAAAUGGGCGGAAGCCUGAUGCAGCAACGCCGCGUGCGGGAUGACGGCUUUCGGGGUGUAACCCGCUUUCGCCUGUGACGAAGCGUGAGUGACGGUAAUGGGUAAAGAAGCACCGGCUAACUACGUG
rnacentral:rRNA from 1 species